ACAGCAGGACGGUGAUCAUGGAAGUCGAAAUCCGCUAAGGAGUGUGUAACAACUCACCUGCCGAAGCAACUAGCCCUUAAAAUGGAUGGCGCUUAAGUUGUAUACCUAUACAUUACCGCUAAAGUAGAUGAUUUAUAUUACUUGUGAUAUAAAUUUUGAAACUUUAGUGAGUAGGAAGGUACAAUGGUAUGCGUAGAAGUGUUUGGCGUAAGCCUGCAUGGAGCUGCCAUUGGUACAGAUCUUGGUGGUAGUAGCAAAUAAUCGAAUGAGACCUUGGAGGACUGAAGUGGAGAAGGGUUUCGUGUGAACAGUGGUUGAUCACGAGUUAGUCGGUCCUAAGUUCAAGGCGAAAGCCGAAAAUUUUCAAGUAAAACAAAAAUGCCUAACUAUAUAAACAAAGCGAAUUAUAAUACACUUGAAUAAUUUUGAACGAAAGGGAAUACGGUUCCAAUUCCGUAACCUGUUGAGUAUCCGUUUGUUAUUAAAUAUGGGCCUCGUGCUCAUCCUGGCAACAGGAACGACCAUAAAGAAGCCGUCGAGAGAUAUCGGAAGAGUUUUCUUUUCUGUUUUAUAGCCGUACUACCAUGGAAGUCUUUCGCAGAGAGAUAUGGUAGAUGGGCUAGAAGAGCAUGACAUAUACUGUUGUGUCGAUAUUUUCUCCUCGGACCUUGAAAAUUUAUGGUGGGGACACGCAAACUUCUCAACAGGCCGUACCAAUAUCCGCAGCUGGUCUCCAAGGUGAAGAGUCUCUAGUCGAUAGAAUAAUGUAGGUAAGGGAAGUCGGCAAAUUAGAUCCGUAACUUCGGGAUAAGGAUUGGCUCUGAAGAUUGAGAUAGUCGGGCUUGAUUGGGAAACAAUAACAUGGUUUAUGUGCUCGUUCUGGGUAAAUAGAGUUUCUAGCAUUUAUGUUAGUUACUUGUUCCCCGGAUAGUUUAGUUACGUAGCCAAUUGUGGAACUUUCUUGCUAAAAUUUUUAAGAAUACUAUUUGGGUUAAACCAAUUAGUUCUUAUUAAUUAUAACGAUUAUCAAUUAACAAUCAAUUCAGAACUGGCACGGACUUGGGGAAUCCGACUGUCUAAUUAAAACAAAGCAUUGUGAUGGCCCUAGCGGGUGUUGACACAAUGUGAUUUCUGCCCAGUGCUCUGAAUGUCAAAGUGAAGAAAUUCAAGUAAGCGCGGGUCAACGGCGGGAGUAACUAUGACUCUCUUAAGGUAGCCAAAUGCCUCGUCAUCUAAUUAGUGACGCGCAUGAAUGGAUUAACGAGAUUCCUACUGUCCUAUCUACUAUCUAGCGAAACCACAGCCAAGGGAACGGGCUUGGAAUAAUUAGCGGGGAAAGAAGACCCUUUUGAGCUUGACUCUAAUCUGGCAGUGUAAGGAGACAUAAGAGGUGUAGAAUAAGUGGGAGAUAUUAGACCUCGGUUUGGUAUCGUCAAUGAAAUACCACUACUCUUAUUGUUUCCUUACUUACUUGAUUAAAUGGAACGUGUAUCAUUUCCUAGCCAUUAUACGGAUAUAUUUAUUAUAUCUUAUGGUAUUGGGUUUUGAUGCAAGCUUCUUGAUCAAAGUAUCACGAGUUUGUUAUAUAAUCGCAAACAAAUUCUUUAAUAAAACGAUGCAUUUAUGUAUUUUUGAUUUGAAAAUUUGGUAUAACUCCAAUUACUCAGGUAUGAUCCAAUUCAAGGACAUUGCCAGGUAGGGAGUUUGACUGGGGCGGUACAUCUCUCAAAUAAUAACGGAGGUGUCCCAAGGCCAGCUCAGUGCGGACAGAAACCACACAUAGAGCAAAAGGGCAAAUGCUGACUUGAUCUCGGUGUUCAGUACACACAGGGACAGCAAAAGCUCGGCCUAUCGAUCCUUUUGGUUUAAAGAGUUUUUAACAAGAGGUGUCAGAAAAGUUACCAUAGGGAUAACUGGCUUGUGGCGGCCAAGCGUUCAUAGCGACGUCGCUUUUUGAUCCUUCGAUGUCGGCUCUUCCUAUCAUUGUGAAGCAAAAUUCACCAAGCGUUGGAUUGUUCACCCAUGCAAGGGAACGUGAGCUGGGUUUAGACCGUCGUGAGACAGGUUAGUUUUACCCUACUAAUGACAAAACGUUGUUGCGACAGCAUUCCUGCGUAGUACGAGAGGAACCGCAGGUACGGACCAAUGGCACAAUACUUGUUCGAGCGAACAGUGGUAUGACGCUACGUCCGUUGGAUUAUGCCUGAACGCCUCUAAGGUCGUAUCCGUGCUGGACUGCAAUGAUAAAUAAGGGGCAAUUUGCAUUGU
rnacentral:rRNA from 1 species